CUGAGACAGACAGGGGGCCCUUUCUACCUAGUACCCUCCCCUGGACUGGCAUUACAGCUGAGACAGACAGGGGACCCUUUCUACCUAGUACCCUCCCCUGGACUGGUAUUACAGCCGAGACAGACAGGGGGCCCUUUCUACCUAGUGCCCUCCCCUGGACUGGUAUUACAGCCGAGACAGACAGGGGGCCCUUUCUACCUAGUACCCUCCCCUGGACUGGUAUUACAGCUGAGACAGACAGGGGCCCUUUCUACCUAGUACCCUCCCCUGGACUGGUAUUACAGCCGAGACAGACAGGGGGCCCUUUCUACCUAGUACCCUCCCCUGGACUGGUAUUACAGCUGAGACAGACAGGGGGCCCUUUCUACCUAGUACCCUCCCCUGGACUGGUAUUACAGCCGAGACAGACAGGGGGCCCUUUCUACCUAGUACCCUCCCCUGGACUGGUAUUACAGCUGAGACAGACAGGGGGCCCUUUCUACUCAGGCACAGGGAGGGGCAGCUCAGAACCUUUGUGGUCCUGAGUGAUUCUCUGCCACAACAACUAACAUGGAUUAAAAAAAGGAAAGUGUAACAAUGGUCCUUCUGUGUUAGUGGCUGAAAAUGUCAGGUCUUCCUCUUCUGAUGCUAUGAUGCCCAGUUCUGUCUGUGGGUAGUCUGGUGCUGGGAGGUUACUAGGCUUCACAGACAACAGUCUGGUGCUGUGAGGUUACUAGGCUUCACAGACAACAGUCUGGUGCUGGGAGGUUACUAGGCUUCACAGACAACAGUCUGGUGCUGUGAGGUUACUAGGCUUCACAGACAACAGUCUGGUGCUCUGAGGUUACUAGGCUUCACAGACAACAGUCUGGGGCUGGGAGGUUACUAGGCUUCACAGACAACAGUCUGGUGCUGGGAGGUUACUAGGCUUCACAGACAACAGUCUGGUGCUGUGAGGUUACUAGGCUUCACAGACAACAGUCUGGGGCUGGGAGGUUACUAGGCUUCACAGACAACAGUCUGGUGCUGGGAGGUUACUAGGCUUCACAGACAACAGUCUGGUGCUCUGAGGUUACUAGGCUUCACAGACAACAGUCUGGUGCUGGGAGGUUACUAGGCUUCACAGACAACAGUCUGGUGCUGGGAGGUUACUAGGCUUCACAGACAACAGUCUGGUGCUGUGAGGUUACUAGGCUUCACAGACAACAGUCUGGGGCUGGGAGGUUACUAGGCUUCACAGACAACAGUCUGGUGCUGGGAGGUUACUGGGCUUCACAGACAAGUCUGGUGCUGGGAGGUUACUAGGCUUCACAGACAACAGUCUGGUGCUGUGAGGUUACUAGGCUUCACAGACAACAGUCUGGUGCUGGGAGGUUACUAGGCUUCACAGACAACAGUCAGACUUCCUGUCUGUAAGCGUCCCCAUGUUCAGAAUUAUAUUUGUAUUAUUCUCACUAGUCUUUAUUUACACAUUUAAUAUUUCUUGGGAGCUGCUUGUGUCUGGAUGGUGUGCUAACCUGUUUGACAUUAUAAUAAUGUAAUAUAAUUUAUAUCGUUUGUAUUAUUCUAACAUAAUAUUGUGGGUCUUUUUAUUCUGUAAUUUCUUCCUGGGGG
ensembl:lncRNA